rnacentral:rRNA from 1 species
AUGAACGCUGGCGGCGUGGAUAAGGUAUGCAAGUCGGACGAUUUCCUUUUUUGAAGAAGAUGCGAUUACAUCAAGUCAACUGAUAUUUUGGAGAUAGUGGCGAACGAGCUAGUAACACCUUGGUACGUACCCAAAAGUUUGGUAUAGCUCGCCGAAAGGCGGGGUAAUCCCAAAUAAUCCCUCUAUCUAUCGGAUAGAAGGGUAAAGUCGCAAGACGCUUUUGGAGCGGCCUAGGACCGAUCAGUUAGUUGGUGAGGUAAUGGCUCACCAAGACGAUGACCGGUAGGGG